rnacentral:rRNA from 1 species
CAAGGUUGACCUCGGAUCAGGUAGGGAUACCCGCUGAACUUAAGCAUAUCAAUAA